rnacentral:rRNA from 1 species
GCAAGUCGAACGGUAACAGGUAUUUCGGUAUGCUGACGAGUGGCGGACGGGUGAGUAACGCGUAGGAAUCUACCUAUCUGUGGGGGAUACCGUUUGGAAACGAACGUUAAUACCGCAUAAUAUCUUAGGAUUAAAAGUGGCACUUGUGCUGCUGCGGAUAGAUGAGCCUGCGUUAGAUUAGCUUGUUGGUGGGGUAAAGGCCUACCAAGGCUACGAUCUAUAGCUGAUUUGAGAGGAUGAUC